rnacentral:rRNA from 1 species
GGGAUCCGAGUGCGAGGGCAUAUCGUCCUCGCUUUCGUGUACCGUAGGGUGGUACACCAACAAGGGCUGGGCAAGACCGGUGCCAGCCGCCGCGGUAAUACCGGCAGCCCGAGUGAUGGCCGAUCUUAUUGGGCCUAAAGCGUCCGUAGCUGGCUGCGCAAGUCCGUCGGGAAAUCCACUCGCCCAACGAGUGGGCGUCCGACGGAAACUGCACAGCUUGGGACCGGAAGGCUCGAAGGGUACGUUCGGGGUAGGAGUGAAAUCCCAUAAUCCCGCACGGACCACCGAUGGCGAAAGCACUUCGAGAAAACGGAUCCGACAGUGAGGGACGAAAGCCAGGGUCUCCAACCGGAUUAGAUACCCGGGUAGUCCUGGCCGUAAACAAUGUUCGCUAGGUAUGACACAGACUACGCGUCUCUGUUGUGCCGUAGGGAAGCCGAGAAGCGAACCGCCUGGGAAGUACGUCUGCAAGGAUGAAACUCAAAGAAUUUGACGGGA